rnacentral:rRNA from 1 species
GGCAUUGGCGGCAGCUACACAUGCAGUCGAGCGGAUGACGGGAGCUUGCUCCUUGAUUCAGCGGCGGACGGGUGAGUAAUGCCUAGGAAUCUGCCUGGUAGUGGGGGACAACGUUUCGAAAGGAACGCUAAUACCGCAUACGUCCUACGGGAGAAAGCAGGGGACCUUCGGGCCUUGCGCUAUCAGAUGAGCCUAGGUCGGAUUAGCUAGUUGGUGAGGUAAUGGCUCACCAAGGCGACGAUCCGUAACUGGUCUGAGAGGAUGAUCAGUCACACUGGAACUGAGACACGGUCCAGACUCCUACGGGAGGCAGCAGUGGGGAAUAUUGGACAAUGGGCGAAAGCCUGAUCCAGCCAUGCCGCGUGUGUGAAGAAGGUCUUCGGAUUGUAAAGCACUUUAAGUUGGGAGGAAGGGCAGUAAGCUAAUACCUUGCUGUUUUGACGUUACCGACAGAAUAAGCACCGGCUAACUCUGUGCCAGCAGCCGCGGUAAUACAGAGGGUGCAAGCGUUAAUCGGAAUUACUGGGCGUAAAGCGCGCGUAGGUGGUUCGUUAAGUUGGAUGUGAAAGCCCCGGGCUCAACCUGGGAACUGCAUCCAAAACUGGCGAGCUAGAGUACGGUAGAGGGUGGUGGAAUUUCCUGUGUAGCGGUGAAAUGCGUAGAUAUAUGAAGGAACACCAGUGGCGAAGGCGAGCACCUG